UGGCCUAUAAAUACAAGGCUAAAUUGUUCACUGGCAAACAAAAAGGAGAAGCCUGGCUGCUAAGCUGCAACUUGUAUUUUCAAGGAUAGCCACAUUCUACAACUAUAACACAAGAACUUUGUAAGCCAGAAUUACGCGCAAAUCCUAACACUAACUACCUUAACUGCAAGGAAUUUAAAAGUUGGGGUGUGUGUUACCAAUCACUGAAGGAAGAUAACGGAUGAGCAUGUUUGAUUGUCUCUCUUUCUUCAUCUACAGUUGUUGCUGCUGCUGCAGUUAGUUGCGAUUUAUAGGCCAUUCCAUCUGCCAAAGGCAAACUGUAUACUGCAUCAGUUUCCAUCAAAACUAUUGAUCUGAGAAAGAUAAGUGCCAAGAUGAGUAAAUAACAGAACAUAAUAGAAGAAUAGAACUGCCGCUGCUAAACCAAAAGUUACCUUUGGUGAACAGGUCAAGGCAAGUCGAUGGUAAUAACCAGCUAAGUAGAGUUGGAUUAGCUUCACAAGUAGUUGUUGUGUGCAUGUGCCAAGCCUCACAAGUCGUCACAAGAAGCAAGGUAA
rnacentral:lncRNA from 1 species